UACGGAGAGUGCAAACGUUGUUCGGAUUCACUGGGCGUAAAGGGCACGUAGGCGGCUCGGCAAAUCGGUCGUGGAAUCUCGACGCUUACCGUCGAAACGGCGGCCGAAAAUACCGGGCUCGAGGGCGUGAGGGGUCACUGGAACUCCUGGUGAAGCGGUGAAAUGCGUAGAUAUACGGAGGAACACCAGCGGCGAAGGCGGGUAGCUGGGCCAACACUGACGCUGAUGCGCGAAAGCUAGGGUAGCAAACGGG
rnacentral:rRNA from 1 species